UUUUUCGGCGGUGUGAAGGUGGCGUACGGUGAGCCGUUAUAUACGGUUACAUUUGUGACCUCUCUUCGGAAGAAGAAGAACGGCGGUGGUUGUUUUUGUGGAUGUAGCAGUAAAUUCAUGACCAUUAAGCUAUUGAUAAACUUAACGUCAAUAAAACCAGAGUCGCCACCGCGCUUUUAUUGUUUCCAAGGGAAAAGGGAAAAGUACAAACAAAACCCAAAGAUAAGAAGUUUUCAAAUCAAAA
rnacentral:lncRNA from 1 species